CAUUCAUGUAACUGAAGACCUUGACCUAAGCCUGAUCCAAAGCCUGUUGAAGCCAACAGUAAAUCUUUUAUUGAUUUUCAGAAGCUUUCCCCUGUGAAUCCAUCAACUUUCUUGAUUUAUAUCUUGAGAACUGAUACUUUAUUUCAACAAGAAACCGAAGUUUCAUUGCCAGGGCUUGCUGUGAAACAAACUCCAUGGGAUGCAUCACAACCAACAGAUACUUCACUAAUGAAUUCAAGACCCAACAAGGUGUCGUCUGUAAGGUCCACAAAGCUGUAUAUGCAGCAGAGUGGCCCAGGAUUCUGACCUCUUAGCACUCAGUAAAGAACCUGCUGAGGGCCACACCUUCCUUCUGACAGCAUGAAGGCCUCUGUACAAAAGACAGCUAAGUGUACUCAGAAUUCCAUGCACCCAAGGAAGUCAUCAAGCCCACCAAAAGAAGUAUAGCCAAUGUCCCUGUGGAAAGUAUUCUGCUUUUUAGGAAAGAGCUGAAAGUGUGCUA